rnacentral:rRNA from 1 species
AUGAACGCUGGCGGCGUGCCUAAUACAUGCAAGUCGAGCGAACAGACGAGGAGCUUGCUCCUCUGACGUUAGCGGCGGACGGGUGAGUAACACGUGGAUAACCUACCUAUAAGACUGGGAUAACUUCGGGAAACCGGAGCUAAUACCGGAUAAUAUAUUGAACCGCAUGGUUCAAUAGUGAAAGACGGUUUUGCUGUCACUUAUAGAUGGAUCCGCGCCGCAUUAGCUAGUUGGUAAGGUAACGGCUUACCAAGGCAACGAUGCGUAGCCGACCUGAGAGGGUGAUCGGCCACACUGGACCUGAGACACGGUCCAGACUCCUACGGGAGGCAGCAGUAGGGAAUCUUCCGCAUUGGGCGAAAGCCUGACGGAGCAACGCCGCGUGAGUGAUGAAGGUCUUCGGAUCGUAAAACUCUGUUAUUAGGGAAGAACAAAUGUGUAAGUAACUAUGCACGUCUUGACGGUACCUAAUCAGAAAGCCACGGCUAACUACGU